rnacentral:rRNA from 1 species
UUGAAGGUUGGGUAACACUAACUGGAGGACCGAACCGACUACCUUUGAAAAGUUAGCGGAUGACCUGUGGAUCGGAGUGAAAGGCUAAUCAAGCUCGGAGAUAGCUGGUUCUCCUCGAAAGCUAUUUAGGUAGCGCCUCAUGUAUCACUGUAGGGGGUAGAGCACUGUUUCGGCUAGGGGGUCAUCCCGACUUACCAAACC